GCUGGGCAUGGUGAUGCGUGCCUGUAGUCUCAGCUACUUGGGAGGCUGAGGCAGGAGGAUCAUUUGAAGCCAAGAGUUCUGGGCUGAAGUGUGCUAUGCUGAUCUGGUGUCUACACUAAAUUUACCAUCAAAUAUGGUGAUCUCCUGGGAGCAGGUUGCCUAAGGAGAGGUAAAUCAUCCCAAGUUGGAAACAGUGCAGGUCAGAACUCCUGUGCUGAUCAGUGGUGGGAUCACGCCUGUGAAUAAUCACUGUACUACAGCUUGGGCAACAUAGUGAGACCCCACCUCA
rnacentral:SRP_RNA from 1 species